rnacentral:rRNA from 1 species
UCUGGUUGAUCCUACCAGUAAUAUACGCUCGUCUCAAAGGUUAAGCCAUGCAUGUCUAAGUACAAACUAAACUAAAGUGAAACCGCAAAAGGCUCAGUAUAACAGCUGUAAUUUCUUGGAUCAUAUUCCCAGUACUUGGAUAACUGUGGAAAAUCUAGAGCUAAUACAUGCACAUAAUGCGGAUGCCCGUCAAAAGGCUUCCGCGCAGUUAUUAGACAAACCAAUCAGCCUCCUCGGAGGAUGUCACUUGUGGUGGAACUCUAGAUAACUUUGCUGAUCGUAUGGCCUUGUGCCGACGACAGAUCUUUCAAAUGUCUGCCCUAUCAACUUUGAUGGUAGUAUAGAGGACUACCAUGGUUGCUACGGGUAACGGGGAAUCAGGGUUCGAUUCCGGAGAGGGAGCCUGAGAAAUGGCUACUACAUCUAAGGAAGGCAGCAGGCGCGUAAAUUACCCAAUGCCAGUACGGCGAGGUAGUGACGAAAAAUAACAAUACAGGACUCUUUUAUGAUGUUCUGUAAUUGGAAUGAAUUAACUUUAAAUCCUUUAAUGAGGAUCAAGUGGAGGGCAAGUCUGGUGCCAGCAGCCGCGGUAAUUCCAGCUCCACUAGCGUAUAUUAAAGUUGUUGCGGUUAAAACGUUCGAAGUUGAACUUUGUCUCACACUGUGGCGUCCCCCUUACGGGUGUUGGCGGUCCAUGGCCUGUGCAGACUGUAAGUCUUGGCAAAUAUGUAUCUGAACCUUUCUUCGGAUUGGCUAGGGUGCAUAUGCUAAAAUUGUGUUUAACUGCCUUUGGUUAGGUGGUUUUAUGCAAGCCAAGCACAUUUUUACCUUGAACAAAUUAGAGUGAUCAAAGCAAGCUAUCAUAUGCUUGGAUAAUUAUGCAUGGAAUAAUGGAAUAAGACCCUGGUCUUUUUCUUGUUGGUUUGAAUAGACCAAAGGUAAUGAUUAAUAGAAGCAGUUGGGGGCAUUAGUAUUGCGGCGCGAGAGGUGAAAUUCUUAGACCGUCGCAAGACUAACUAAAGCGAAAGCAUUUGCCAAGGAUGUUUUCAUUAAUCAAGAACGAAAGUUAGAGGAUCGAAGGCGAUUAGAUACCGCCCUAGUUCUAACUGUAAACUAUGUCAGCUAGCAAUUGGAUGUCGCUACUAUACAGGUGCUUUCAAUAGCUCUCGGGAAACCUAAGCUAGGUUCCGGGGGAAGUAUGGUUGCAAAGUUGA